CACAAACACGCGGCGAAGGCUGAGAAGCAAAUGGAGAAAUGGAAUGCAGCUGAAAGGCAGGACUUGGAGUAACAUGAGGAAUUGUUUAAGCAAAACUGUUGACAGUGGUUUUGAGGAUGGAAUUACUAGUUUGAGAUGUUUACUGUUUUAUGGGAUCUCUUGAACAAGAUUAGUUUAAAAACAGUGGCAGUUGAUUGAUAGAAGAAUUUUGACUUCACAAUAUAAUGGUAAUUGAUGAACUGACAUUUGGCUUUUCAAGAUCUGAGAACCUGUCCAGAAAUUAUUAAUUACAAAUAUAUUGGAAGAUAUUUUGGAAUCUAAAUUAGAUGUCAUCAGAGAUGUCAUCAGAUUAAAAAAAAAAAUAAAGACCGGACAAUAAAGAUUUUGCUUCCUGAAUACUUGGGUCUAUCUGGCAGAUUUUUGGCCACUAAUGAUGAAAAUAAACUAAUAGACAUCA